GGGAAUGUGGCUCGGUGGUAGAGUACUUGUCUAAUAUGCAUGAGGCCCUGAGUUCAAUUUCUCAUUACCA
rnacentral:tRNA from 1 species